rnacentral:misc_RNA from 1 species
AGAACGCAGCGAAAUGCGAUAAGUAAUGUGAAUUGCAGAAUUCCGUGAAUCAUCGAAUCUUUGAACGCACAUUGCGCCCCCUGGCAUUCCGGGGGGCAUGCCUGUCCGAGCGUCAUUUGCACCCCUCAAGCGCGGCUUGCGUGUUGGGCCAUCGUCCCCGGGUGCUUCUCCCCCUGAUCGGGGAGGGGCGCCGAGGGGACGGGCCUGAAAGGCAGUGGCGGCGUUCGCGUCUCAGCGAUCAGCCCGAGCGUAUGGGGCUCUGUCACACGCUCGCGGUGGUUGGACCGACGUCACGUCCGGCUCUCGAGUUCUUCUCUCUCUCAGGUUGACCUCGGAUCAGGUAGGGAUACCCGCUGAACUUAAGC